UACGGGGGGGGCAAGCGUUGUUCGGAAUUACUGGGCGUAAAGGGCUCGUAGGUUGCCAACUAAGUCAGACGUGAAAUCCCUCGGCUUAACCGGGGAACUGCGUCUGAUACUGGAUGGCUUGAGUUCGGGAGAGGGAUGCGGAAUUCCAGGUGUAGCGGUGAAAUGCGUAGAUAUCUGGAGGAACACCGGUGGCGAAGGCGGCAUCCUGGACCGACACUGACACUGAGGAGCGAAAGCCAGGGGGGCAAACGGG
rnacentral:rRNA from 1 species